rnacentral:rRNA from 1 species
GAUGAACGCUGGCGGCGUGCCUAAUACAUGCAAGUCGAGCGAACAGACGAGGAGCUUGCUCCUCUGACGUUAGCGGCGGACGGGUGAGUAACACGUGGAUAACCUACCUAUAAGACUGGGAUAACUUCGGGAAACCGGAGCUAAUACCGGAUAAUAUAUUGAACCGCAUGGUUCAAUAGUGAAAGACGGUUUUGCUGUCACUUAUAGAUGGAUCCGCGUCGCAUUAGCUAGUUGGUAAGGUAACGGCUUACCAAGGCAACGAUGCGUAGCCGACCUGAGAGGAUGAUCGGCCACACUGGAACUGAGACACGGUCCAGACUCCUACGGGAGGCAGCAGUAGGGAAUCUUCCGCAAUGGGCGAAAGCCUGACGGAGCAACGCCGCGUGAGUGAUGAAGGUCUUCGGAUCGUAAAACUCUGUUAUUAGGGAAGAACAAAUGUGUAAGUAACUAUGCACGUCUUGACGGUACCUAAUCAGAAAGCCACGGCUAACUACGUG